rnacentral:rRNA from 1 species
GGUAAACGCUGGCGGCGUGCCUAAAACAUGCAAGUCGAACGGGCACCUUCGGGUGUCAGUGGCAGACGGCUGAGUAACGCGUGGGUGACGUACCUAUAGGUGGGGAAUAACUGCCCGAAAGGGUGGCUAAUACCGCAUACGUCCACUGGAGUCGUCCAGUGGAGAAAACCGCAAGGUGCCGAUGGAGCGGCCCGCGUUCGAUUAGCUGGUUGGUGGGGUAACGGCCUACCAAGGCGACGAUCGAUAGCUGGUCUCAGAGGAUGAUCAGCCAGACUGGGACUGAGACACGGCCCAGACUCCUACGGGAGGCAGCAGUUAGGAAUUUUGGGCAAUGGGCGCAAGCCUGACCCAGCAACGCCGCGUGGGUGACGAAGGCCUUCGGUUG